CUAACUACGUGCCAGCAGCCGCGGUAAAACGUAGGUCACAAGCGUUGUCCGGAAUUACUGGGUGUAAAGGGAGCGCAGGCGGGAAAACAAGUUGGAAGUGAAAUCCAUGGGCUCAACCCAUGAACUGCUUUCAAAACUGUUUUUCUUGAGUAGUGCAGAGGUAGGCGGAAUUCCCGGUGUAGCGGUGGAAUGCGUAGAUAUCGGGAGGAACACCAGUGGCGAAGGCGGCCUACUGGGCACCAACUGACGCUGAGGCUCGAAAGUGUGGGUAGCAAACAGGAUUAGAUACCCUGGUAGUCCACACCGUAAACGAUGAUUACUAGGUGUUGGAGGAUUGACCCCUUCAGUGCCGCAGUUAACACAAUAAGUAAUCCACCUGGGGAGUACGACCGCAAGGUUGAAACUCAAAGGAAUUGACGGGGGCCCGCACAAGCAGUGGAGUAUGUGGUUUAAUUCGACGCAACGCGAAGAACCUUACCAAGUCUUGACAUCCUGCGACGAUGCUAGAAAUAGGAGUUUCCUUCGGAACGCAGAGACAGGUGGUGCAUGGUUGUCGUCAGCUCGUGUCGUGAGAUGUUGGGUUAAGUCCCGCAACGAGCGCAACCCUUAUGGUCAGUUACUACGCAAGAGGACUCUGGCCAGACUGC
rnacentral:rRNA from 1 species